CAGGCCGGCCCCUCUGCGGAGAGCCCCUAAAAAGAACACGCCCGCCUGACACUCCCUUCCUCCGCCCGUGCAGCCCUUGUGGAGAAAGGAGCCGGGGGCAUUCAAGGCCGUGUGUCUGUGUCCCAACUGGUCUUCUAGGCAUAGAAGGAGACGGUGGGGCUCUCCCAGGCGCCUACGGAGGCUGGCCUGACACAUCAGGAAGGGCGAGCGUGUGAGCAAGCCACGCUGAAUGUCUUUCUGAACGCCGCACCAUCACACCCACCUGUCACGCCGCCACAAGAAUCCAAUCCAGGAGACCACCUUGCACUUGGAGGAGCGGGAUUUACAAGAGAACUUGUCGCUUCAGAGGCAGCCUCACUCACGGCAGCAGAGCAGAGUCUAAGAGAACGCCCGGGAGCGCCAGGAGCCCUGGGGCACUGCGAGAUAACAGAAAGAAAAAUCACGGAUGCCCAGGGAAGCCACUGACAUCAAGGUUGGGGAGUCAAUUAGGCCUUUACCUGACCCAGAAGAGUCUCAUUAGCCGGGGGGAACAGCUACCAGGUAACCACCAAAUCACCUGCCUGUUCUCAUCUCAGCUGAUUAAGUACCGUUCGAGGAUUCCAGAAGCUUCUCACACCCUGAAGCUAAAAAGCCUAAUGCAGCAUAUUUAUUUUUAAGUCACAUCCUGGAGCAGUGCACAUGCUUCCCCGGAAGAGCACUCCAUCCCAGUGUCACAGCUGGGAACGGGGGGGGGGCCGGCUCCCCGCACAGGGAAGGCCUG